AUACGAAAGGGGCAAGCGUUGUUCGGAAUUACUGGGCGUAAAGCGCACGUAGGCGGCAUUGUAAGUUGGGGGUGAAAUCCCGGAGCUUAACUCCGGAACUGCCUCCAAAACUACAAAGCUAGAGGAUGUGAGAGGAUAGUGGAAUUCCGAGUGUAGAGGUGAAAUUCGUAGAUAUUCGGAAGAACACCAGUGGCGAAGGCGACUGUCUGGCACAUUUCUGACGCUGAGGUGCGAAAGCGUGGGGAGCAAACAGGAUUAGAAACCCCAGUAGUCC
rnacentral:rRNA from 1 species